UUUUCAUAUGCUGGUCUCAACUCUUAAUA
rnacentral:piRNA from 1 species